UCAUGGUGAUAUGAGUCCAUGCAUCUUCAGUGUAGCCUUUAAAAACAAGUUUCAUUUUGUUGUGCAAAAUAGUAAACAUCAGCUUAUGAAAGUCAUUCACCAUUCUGGUUGUUUAUCAUGGAGCCUUGAUGCACUCCAUUAAGCAUGGCUGUCUGACUCCAAUCAGGAGAUGGAAACCAAGCAGAAAAUAUUUAAUGUGAAGAAUUAACUAUGAUGAAAGAGUGACCAUAGAUAUAAGAAAGCCUGAAGCAAAGAGGAAAGCACCAGGACAGGUGUGUUGUGUAAGGGUUAGAUCUGUUGAAGAACAUAUGGCUCAGUCAGCAGUGUAUUUGCUAAUACUGCAGCUGAUCCAGAGUGGUAGGGAAAACAAUAAGCCCCAUAGGAAGGGUGGGCAGGCAGCAUUCAGGAAAAACUCAGGGGUUCAGGCAGCUGUGGAGGAUGUGGUAGGUGUGCCAACUCCUCUGGCCAGGUAGAACGCAGGUGGUAUUAAGGCUUCCCUAUAGAGAGAGCAGCCAAAGUUAGGUUUGUCUAGGUCCAGGUUGAUGAUGGGCAGGGUCCCUGAAGAUCUUUAUUCCACACAGCAGAUCCCCACAUGAUGGACACCACCUGGAGGCUUCUUCUUCCUGUCCCUCCAGACUCCCCACAUCCCAGUAGAGGAUGCAAAAUUUCUACUUGAUUUAGAAGAGUUGUACUUAGAUAAAUUCUGUUGUUCCUCAAACAGCAGAUAUUAAGGGUAGAUGGGGAACUGAGAGGCAAUAGAUUGUUAACUGACACUUGAACUAUUUCCAGUCAGCUAUUCUGUACAUUUUAGCUAACUCAGUUUGUUGAACAUUCGUCCUCAAGCUACCAAGGGGUAUGUGGUGGAGGAACUUUUUUUUCUAGAAGCCUGCAGGCUCUUGGCUCACCUUGUCACCAUUGCUUUCCUUUCUUAUGAUGUAGCCUCAGAAGCCAGAGUCAUCUAACACCUCAGAAGGACAGCAUUCUUGAACCCAUCUAAACUCCACAUUGAACCUGCAGCUUCCUCUAGAAGUCACAAGGUGAAAAAAAAGAACUGGUUAGAAAUUACCCCCAUACAUGAUUUAGAAUCACUUAGGAAGCAUACCUCUGGGCAUGUCUGUGAGGGAGACUAGAUUGAAGUUGGAAGACCCACCUUAAAUGUGAACAGUACCAUUCCAUGGGCUGCAGUCUGGGACUGAAAACAAAGGACAAAGCAAGCUAACCCUAGCAAUCACUUCUCUUUGCUUCCCGAUUGUGUAUGCAGUGUGACUAGUUACUUUAAAGCUCUGCUACCAUGCCUAGACUGUACCUUCAAACUGUAAACCAAAAUAAACAUUCCUUAAGUUCUUUUUGUCAAGUAUUUUGUCACAGUAAUGAGAAAAAUAAACUAAUACACCUAAUGUUCAUGUCUUGGAAAAGUA